rnacentral:lncRNA from 1 species
AAGGAGAAAUGUCCUAAAACUUCUGCCAACAUUUUCGGGUGACUGUCCUUUGGGUGGGUGUCUCUAGCUAUGUGUACACACAUGAAUGUAUUAUUUUCCAACUAAUGAUCCCAAUCAGUUGGGAUAAGAGCUUUACAUGGCAAACUAUGACUAAAACUUCUAUUUAGAAAUUAAGUGUAAAUCUUUGCUGAAGAACAAUCAUUUAACUGAGGUCGGAUCCUUGACUGUCCAGAAAAGUGUCAUCCUAUGAAGUAAGACCUCGUUCAAGUUGAGUGUUCAAUAAAAGCCCUAGACAUUCUCACACACACUUGAGAAAGUAAUUCUUUUAGAAUCAGAGUACAAUCUGAGUAGGACAGCAGGGCUGAAAAGAACUGCAAGAAAUUUCUGCUGGAUGUUCUCAUAAUGACUUUUCGUCUCUUGACAACAUAGUAUUGUUUUCUGCGUCUCCCUCGUUAACUGAUGGUUACCCAUAAUUUCUGCUCCAAAAGGGUUGUUCUAUUCUUAAAAGUCACAUGCUCACCUUGUGUGUCCCUAGCCAUCCCUAGGUGUGCCAUUCCACUAGCAUCUGGUCAUCGUCGUGAGGGAACCUUUCAGUAGAAGAACCUUACUGAUGGGGAACACACAGCUCAAAAAAGAGAGAGAGUUCAUUCCAACCACCAUCCAGUUAUGUGGCAAAAAAGAUCACUCCAGGGCUGGAUCACUAGUCACUUCCAUUCCAGAAUCAGUGGAUUCAACUAAGCAUAAAGGAGGUAGUGACGAAAUUGAUUUUUUAAAAAUAGACCAAUGAGUACCCUAGUCUCAUAUCCAACAGAAGGUUAGAGGCUACCUCUUUACAGAUCUUCAAUCAGUUGCACUGCUUAAUGUCAUAUUCCGGUCACAAUGAUUAGCUUCCAGAAAAGCACUCUAACCAGUUCCUCUUGGGCAGAGACCACAUACACAGGCUGCUUUUUAUCCUUCGCAAUGCCUUCCUUGCAUAGUCAGUGCUUAAUAAACACCUGCCAUGCAUGAUUCACUCCAUUUUCUCCCUCCUAGUUGAUCACUGGAUGAGGUGCUACCUGAAUUUGAAAAAUCACUUUCGGCUCUCAGCUCUAUAUUUCCAAUGUGAAAUGUGUGGCAUUUCCCUGGUGCAGCCAGCAUAUGCCUUUAGUGUUCCACAAGCUUACAUCAGUCCAGAGUACUAUGCCAAAUCUGCAUUGUGGUUCCAUGAUCAAUUUCACUUCAUCCUGGGUUGCACUUCAAGAACAAAGUUAUAUGCAUGCAGCAGUUCCUGUAUGACUACUUUCAUGGCCUCUGCCAUGUCUGGGGAGUUCGAAGACUUUCCCAGAUGUCAGAAAAUUUAUUCUGACAACAGCCUCUAAUUUCCGUGCUGCCUCCUUAAUCAUGGCAGCACAGGCUAGAUUGACUAAGACUGGACCCAUUGUGCAAGCUUGUUUCUGCUUAUGAGUGAUGAGGAGUGGGGUCAGACAGGGCGCCACCCACUGUGACAUAGGCCACCAUAUCAUCAGGGACUACUUUGCGUACAUUGCUGAAGUUUGAGAAGAGCUUGUCUUGCUUAGUAGCUGCCAGAUCCAGGGCUGCAAAGGGACUAAGUGAGUUUUUUAAUAUAAAAUCCAUGAAAACUGUGUAUAGAAUCUAUUGUUCGCUAUGCUUUUUUAAUACUAGCUUGAACAAAUUGCUUGGCUCAGCCGUGAUAUAGGUAAAGCACAUUGUGAUUCUGACAUUGCCUUAGUAGUGGCAGAAAAUAACAAGAAAGGGUUGCCAGUAGCAGACAAAUGGCAUAAUAGCUUGUACAGUUUUCUUUUCAAGGAAGUGGGGAGGAAAUGGUAUCUUUGAUACCAUGCCUGUUUUGACAGAAGCUAAGGGUUUUAUAUACAGGCAAGUUGAAAUUAAUUAUUUCAGAAUUCCAAGCUCCUUAGAUUGAGGGAUUAUUGGUAGCUAAAUUCGAGGGGGCUAUUUGAUGAAGCCAGAACUCCUGGGGUCCUAACUAGUUUAAAAGAGGACCAGAGGAGCAAACAAAAACUGGCUGGGAAGCAACUGGCUCUGGGUGUGUCUCCGCAAACUAGUUGAAAAACUAAAAAUGUCAGUCCCUUAUCUAUUUCUUUUUCAACAUGAGACCCCCAAACCCACCAGGCUGGCCAAUUUUUUCCUUUACCAAAAGGAUAUUUUUUAGUUGUUUUGAUCAAAUUGUCUGGCUGUUUCAGUGUCACCUAACUACAGCUUCAUUUCUGGAACAAGAAAGGUACAUCUUCAAUCCAACAUCACCCCCUACUGGUUUAGCAUUAGGGACCAAAAAAAUAUGUGUUAAAUUUCCUUCAUCUUCUCAAAUUAUCUUUUAUUUUUUCUUUGAAACAUUAAAAUAUCUCUCUGCUCUCUCCCCUCUCUUGAGGAAGAAUCACUUUCCCAAUAGUAGGAGAUUACCAUCCUAUCCAUUCCUCUAGAAGUACUCACGUAACCCUGUUGAUUCCAUCCGAGAAGCUGUGUUCACACUGUCUCCAAACAAGCAGUAUAUGGGCAUGGUGAGGCCCACCACUCCAGCAACAACUGGCCCUAUAGAAUAGCAGGCAAAUGGGAUUACAGUCAACAGGUGUGCAUCCAAUGCUAUGAGAGGAACACGGCCAAGGGAAGGAAUGUAGCUGCGUAAAAGAAUAAAGUUGCCACCAAAUAGCUCUGAGAAUCUGAAGAAAAUCUUAUAAUGAGUAAUGAAUUCUUUGCCCUACAAGAAAGAAAAUUUGUAACGAAGCAGAAACGACUAACCUUCUGAUUUAUACCUUUGUUCCAAGUAACAGUUACAUCCAAGAUGCUUAUAUCUGUCAACAGGGACAAAUAAGCAUUCAACCCAAUCAGAAAAGCCUGGGCAGAGACUCAAGACCCAAACAUGUUUGUUGCAGGGAAAAAAUAUGACUCUUUUUAAUGCCUUAGGGUUGGAAGGAGGGAUCUCAGAGGGCUAUCUGUCUCCCAAAUUGUAUCUUUUAAGAGAAUUAUUACUAAGACAGUUGGAAAAUCUGAGAAGUAGAGUUAACGUUCAAUCAUUUGUGUUAGGGACAUGGAAGAGUAGUACAUAAAGAUAACCUGAGAAUAUUUUCUGUCUGCCUUUGGAAUGGCUUUUGUUUUUUUUGGGGGGGGGGUUAAUUUUUUUAUAGUUGUUAUUUCCCCAAUACAAUUUUUUAGGCUUUUGUUCUUACAUUUAAUAUGGCCAUGUUAAGUGUUCAGAGAAUGAACAUUACUUGAAAACAUUACAGCACCCACACUGAAAGAUAGUUCAGGAGGAUCUAGAAAUUUCUCCACCUUCACCUUUUUGGUCUCUGUUCUGUUUCUAUGUGAAAAUUGUUCAGCAUUAUCUUUUUGCUGUUUGCUGGGUUAGAGAAAAUAAUUGUCUUUGCUUUGAAAAGUUCUUUUAGAACAUUAAUUUUUAAGAAUAAAAAUAAUAACUACAAAGGUUAUGUUUCUCGUGUUAACUCAUUUUUAACCCAUUAAGAAGCAUUUGUUGAGCACUGGACUAGGCACUAAGGGGAGAAAAAAAAUAAAUGUAGCACAGGGUCUCAGUUCUCCAGGAGUUUAUAGUAUAACUGAAGAGAAAAGACUACCAAACCAGAAGCAAUUAGGCAACAACCCAAGACAAUGUAUGGUUGAGGCAAGAUAAAUGGUACAGGCGCAAGUGUUGUAAUAAUUUAGAAAAUUUGGGAGGGUGCUUAUUAAGACCUGUUUCAGUCAAAAAAACAUCCAAUGGAGAAGGUAAGAUUAGGUUUGGAUCUUGAUGGGUGGGUAGGAUUUGAGUAGGAGACAAGGGAUAUGAAUCAAAGGUUUGUGGUUGGGAAUUAACAUGGAAUUUUGGGAAGCUCUUGGAGAAAGCCAUCUGCCUAGUUCAGGUGGCUAGGAAGAACCUGGAGACAAGGUUAGUGGUAGGAUUGUACAAAAUGGAAGACUGAAACACUAGAGAAUUUUGAGCAGGGAAUUACAUGAUGAAAUUCUUUUUAUUUUCCUUUUUUCUCAAUCAGUGGUAGAAUGCAUUGAAAGGGGAGAAAGUAAAACCAGGGAAAUCUGUUAAGUAGCUGUUGCAGUAAUUCAAGCACAAGGUUGUAAGUAUUGGAAAGGAGGUGAUGAUGGAUGGGGGGGCAGCAAAAAGGAGUGAUAAAAGAGAGACAUGGAAGGAGAACCAAAAGACAUGUUGGCUGUGUAAUUGACAACCAUGAUGAAAUUGUCAUGGGCUUAAGAGCUAGCUUUUGCUGGUUUUUUGAGAAAGAUGACUUGACGUUUUAGAUAUGCAGAAUUUGAAGGAACAGUGAAUCACCCAAGAAGAAAUGUGCUGAGGGGGGUUGAUGAUAUGAAACUGAAGCACAAAUAAGAGGCAAAGGCUUUCCUUUAAAAGACUGAAAUCUGCUAUGUAGUAAGCAUUCAGGAUACAAAUGUGAGUAAAGUCUGGUUCCUGCCAUCAAGGAGCUUAUAGUCUAAUGAAAGGACAGGCAAGCAAACACAAAUUAUGAUGAUGAUUAUGAGAAGCAUAGAUAUAAAGAAGCAAGAGUGGAAGCAAGAAGAUGCUAUUGCAUAUGCACAAUGUGGUAUGUGGAAUGACUGGCCAACAGGGACCUGCUGUACAGAACAGGGAACUCUACCCAAUAUUCUGUGAUAAUAUGUAUGGGAAAAGAAUCUGAAAAGAAUGGAUGAGCAUGUGUAACUGAAUCACUUUGUUGUACAGCAGAAAUUUUCACAGUGUUUAAAUCAACUAGACUUCAACAGAACUUUUUAAAAUGAAAAAAAAUACUGAAAGGGUUUGCAUUUCUCUAAUAAUCAGGGAUGUUGAGCAUUUUUUCAUGUGCUUGGUGGCCAUCUCUAUAUCUUCCUUGGAGAAAUGUCUAUUCAGGUCUUUUGCCCAUUUUUUCCAUUGGGUUGUUAGUUUUUUUGCUGUUGAGUUGUAUAAGUUGUUUCGAUAUUUUAGAGAUUAAGCCCUUGUCCGUUGCAUCAUUUGAAACUAUUUUCUCCCAUUCUGUAAGUUGUCUUUUUGUUUUCUUUUUGGUUUCCUUUGCUGUGCAAAAGCUUGUCAGUUUGAUUAGGUCCCAUUGGUUUAUUUUUGCUCUUAUGUCUGUUGCUUUGGGAGACUGACCUGAGAAAACAUUUGCAAGGUUGAUGUCAGAGAAUGUUUUGCCUAUGUUCUCUUCCAGGAGUUUGAUGGUGUCUUGUCUUAUAUUUAGGCCCUUCAGCCAUUUUGAGUUUAUUUUUGUGCAUGGUGUGAGGGUGUGUUGCAGUUUCACUGAUUUGCGUGUAGCUGUCCAGGCUUCCCAGAAAUUCUUGCUGAAUAUACUGUCUUUUUCCAUUUUAUGUUCUUGCCUCCUUUGUCAAAGAUUAAUUGACCACAGGUGUUGGGUUUAUUUCUGCAUUCUCUAUUCUGUUCCAUUGGUCUGUCUGUCUGUUUUGGUACCAGUACCACACUGUUUUGAUGACUGUGGCUUUGUAAUAUUGCUUGAAGUGUGGGAGAGUUAUGCUUCCUGCUUGGUUUUUGUUUUUCAGAAUUCUUUUGUGGUUCCAUAUAAAUUUUUGGAUUGUUUGUUCUAGUUCUGUGAAAAAUGUCCUGGGUAAUUUGACAGGGAUUGCAUUGAAUCUGUAGAUUGCUUUGGAUAAUAUGGCCAUUUUUACAAUAUUAAUUUUUCCAAUCCAGGAGCAUGGAAUAUCUUUCCAUUUCUUUACAUCUUUUUUAGUUUCCUUGAUUAAUGUUUUAUAGUUCUCGGCAUAUAGGUCCUUUGCCUCCUUGGUCAGGUGUAUUCCCACAUACUUGAUUUUGGGGGGUGCAGUUUUAAAAGGUAUUGUGUUUUUUUAUUCCUUUUCUCAAGUUUCUUUGUUAGUAUACAGAAAUGUGACUGAUUUCUGAAUGUUAAUCUUGUAUCCUGCUAAUUUGCUGAAUUUAUUGAUCAGUCCAAGUAGUUUUUGGGUUGAGUCUUUACCACCUCAUACAAGUCAGAAUGGCCAUCAUUAAUAAGUCCACAAAUAACAAGUACUGUAGGGGGUGUGGAGAAAAGGGAACCCUCCUGCACUUUUUGGUGGGAAUGUAAGCUGGUGCAACCACUGUGGAGAACAGUAUGGAGGUACCUUAGAAAACUAUACAUAGAUCUAUCAUAUGACCCAGCAACCUCACUCUUGGGCAUAUAUCUGGACAAAACUUUCCUUAAAAAAAAAAAAAAACGCAUGCACCCGCAUGUUCAUUGCAGCUCUAUUCACAAUAGCCAAGACAUGGAAACAACCCAAAUGUCCAUCGACAGAUGAUUGGAUUAGGAAGAGGUGGUAUAGAUACACAAUGGAAUACUACUC